GGCGUCGGGUCGCCACCAGCCGAUUCGACACAAAUUCCCGGAAGGACCCGGAGUCCCUCAGAGCCCCGAGAGGGCUUACCCCACCGUGGGCGCACGGGAGGGCUGCGAGGUCCCAGGUAGACUCCCCCAGCGAACAGAUUUGCACGAUUAUGCGUCAGUGGGCCUUCAAGGAGGCAGCUCCAUCCGACACAUGCUGACCGAAACUCACGAGGACCUUCAGAGCACAGGCUUGUACAGGGGCCCUGACGCCCUGGCUGACCGACGGGAGUACACACUUCUGUUUGUGUUCUUUCGCCCCCUGGUUCUUAAAGGCUCAUUAGACAUCACAUCAGAUAAGGACUUAGACUCAGUGUUGCUCAGCUCAGAUGAUCCUCCGAUAAGGAAACGGAUCGAGAGGUUAAUGAUUUGCCCACCUUCACCCAUCCAUGCCUUCCAAUGUCAAGACAAAAGUUGGGGAAAGGAAGGGCUUUAUGGAGAAGAUCAGUGCUGACCAGCCUUUGAAGGGCGAACAAGAUUUGAAUCAGCAGAGAUGAGGAAAGUCUAGGAAAAGUUAAUGUGCCAGAGAGUGGAGAUGAGCGUCCAGGUGCCUGGGAUUCCCUCUGCCUGGCCUUGCUUCAGCUGACCUCCCUCUUGUAGUUAGGCCCCCGCUGAUGGACCCUCCGGAAAUGGCUUCUUCCCUCCCUCCUGCCCCAAGGGCGGGUUGGCUGCAAAAGCUGGAUUCCCUUUCUACAGAGGGAAUAGAAAAAUAAAGAAUGUAUUAGUUAUAGAAAUAGCAUUGCACACACCCACCAGAAUGCCUAAAAUGGAAAUGAUGGAAAGUGCAAAGUGAUGCUCUGGGACUCUCGCACACAGCUGAGAGGAAUGUGGAUUUGUACAGCCACUAUGGAGAACUCUUUGACCGUGGCUACUGAAGCCAACCAUACACACCUUAUGGGUGACCAGCAGUUCCACCCUAGGAGUAUACAAGAGUAGACAAGCUCAACAGAGUGAAGUCACCUUUCCCAGAACUGUGAAAUUUCAUAUUACUUCUCUUCCUGUUCCGGUCUGUGGUUCUGGAGAAGUACACACAAUUUCCCAUAAGCAGAGCAGUGUUAGUAUAGACACUGAAAAACGCUCACUGAUCAAUGUCCCUGUGAUGGAUGACACAUUCAUUGACCAAAUACGAAUUGAGAAGAUUCUCGGAGCCAAAUCAGAAGAUAGGCACUAGAGGGUACAGAGACAACACAGUCACUGCCCCUGGCCUCAGGGUGAGAGAAAAGCAGCCAAAUAAUUGCCAUACGAUGUGUUUCUGCUUGAUUAUACUGAGGUUAAAGAUUUUUGGAAAAAAUACUUCUCAAAUGAUGCUGGUGCUUCAUACUGUAUCACAUCAGGAGACACAUAAUGUCAGGAGGAACCAGAUCAUUGCAGCUCUAUUUACAAUAGCCAGGACAUGGAAGCA